UACGGGGGGGGCAAGCGUUGUUCGGAAUUACUGGGCGUAAAGGGCUCGUAGGCGGCCAACUAAGUCAGACGUGAAAUCCCUCGGCUUAACCGGGGAACUGCGUCUGAUACUGGUUGGCUUGAAUCCGGGAGAGGGAUGUGGAAUUCCUGGUGUAGCGGUGAAAUGCGCAGAUAUCAGGAGGAACACCGGUGGCGAAGGCGGGUCUCUGGGCCGAUACUGACGCUGAGGAGCGAAAGCGUGGGGAGCGAACAGG
rnacentral:rRNA from 1 species